AGUAACGGCGAGUGAAGCGGCAACAGCUCAAAUUUGAAAUCUGGCGCAAGCCCGAGUUGUAAUUUGUAGAGGAUGUUUCUGGCGACGUGCCUUCCGAGUUCCCUGGAACGGGACGCCAUAGAGGGUGAGAGCACCGUACGGUUGGAUGCCUAGACUCUGUGAAACUCCUUCGACGAGUCGAGUUGUUUGGGA
rnacentral:rRNA from 1 species